rnacentral:tRNA from 1 species
AGGGGCUUAGCUCAGUUGGUAGAGCACCGGUCUCCAAAACCGGGUGUCGCAGGUUCGAGCCCUGUAGCCCCUGCCA